AACGAACGCUGGCGGCAUGCCUAAUACAUGCAAGUCGAACGAGAUCUUCGGAUCUAGUGGCGCACGGGUGCGUAACGCGUGGGAAUCUGCCCUUGGGUUCGGAAUAACGUCGGGAAACUGACGCUAAUACCGGAUGAUGACGUAAGUCCAAAGAUUUAUCGCCCAAGGAUGAGCUCGCGUAGGAUUAGCUAGUUGGUGAGGUAAAGGCUCACCAAGGCGACGAUCCUUAGCUGGUCUGAGAGGAUGAUCAGCCACACUGGGACUGAGACACGGCCCAGACUCCUACGGGUGGCAGCAGUAGGGAAUAUUGGACAAUGGGGGCAACCCUGAUCCAGCAAUGCCGCGUGAGUGAUGAAGGCCUUAGGGUUGUAAAGCUCUUUUACCCGGGAUGAUAAUGACAGUACCGGGAGAAUAAGCCCCGGCUAACUCCGUGCCAGCCGCCGCGGUAA
rnacentral:rRNA from 1 species